GAUGAACGCUGGCGGCGUGCCUAAUACAUGCAAGUCGAGCGAACAGACGAGGAGCUUGCUCCUCUGACGAUAGCGGCGGACGGGUGAGUAACACGUGGAUAACCUACCUAUAAGACUGGGAUAACUUCGGGAAACCGGAGCUAAUACCGGAUAAUAUAUUGAACCGCAUGGUUCAAUAGUGAAAGACGGCUUUGCUGUCACUUAUAGAUGGAUCCGCGCCGCAUUAGCUAGUUGGUAAGGUAACGGCUUACCAAGGCAACGAUGCGUAGCCGACCUGAGAGGGUGAUCGGCCACACUAGAACUGAGACACGGGCCAGACUCCUACGGGAGGCAGCAGUAGGGAAUCUUCCGCAAUGGGCGAAAGCCUGACGGAGCAACGCCGCGUGGGGGGUGAAGGUCUUCGGAGCGUAAAGCUCUGUUAUUGGGGAAGAACAGAUGUGUAAGUAACUAUGCACGUCUUGACGGUACCUAAUCAGAAAGCCACGGCUAACUUCGUG
rnacentral:rRNA from 1 species